CAUAUAAAACCCCCAGAGCACAAGCCAUGCUUUCAUCCUGUGACCCGCUCAUUUCUGUCUCAGGCACAGGAAACCCCUAAACUCUCUCAGCCUUGCCCCAGCGUCUGCACACACUCUCUCACACACCUCAGCGUGCUCAGAGAUGAGAAUGGCUGUACGAAGAAUGAAUGAGCUCUGGAAAACGAUGGGUCUGGCUUUAAUGUUCGGCUUUCUUUUGCUUCACAGUUGUCAGGGACAGAGCCCAACAGUUAAGUCACCAGAUUCGUCUACAAACAUGGCAGCAUCCCCGGCAGCAACCUCGAUAGCAUCCCCGGCAGCAACCUCGAUAGCAUCCCCGAAAGCAACCACGAAAGAAACCCCAACAGAAACCCAGACGGCAUCCUCUACAGUAACCCGGACAGCAACCCCGACAACACCCCCGACAGCUGAAGAUACAACAGUUUCAGCAGCAAACUCAAAUUCUGGGCCUUAUGAUCAAAAAACAACCAUCCCCAGCCAAACAGGUUCUGUUAACCAAACACCUCAAUUAAAUACCACUGCCAGCCAGUCUACACCUGUAACAAACCAAUCAGAAAACCCAAAUCAAUUAACCCCUGCUGUAAAGGAGACAGAAAUAAAGG